rnacentral:rRNA from 1 species
CGGGGUGAGUAAUGUCUGGGAAACUGCCUGAUGGAGGGGGGUAACUGCUGGAAACGGUAGCUAAUACCGCAUAACGUCGCAAGACCAAAGAGGGGGACCUUCGGGCCUCUUGCCAUCGGAUGUGCCCAGAUGGGAUUAGCUAGUAGGUGGGGUAACGGCUCACCUAGGCGACGAUCCCUAGCUGGUCUGAGAGGAUGACCAGCCACACUGGGACUGAGACACGGUCCAG